rnacentral:rRNA from 1 species
AACGAACGCUGGCGGCAGGCCUAACACAUGCAUGUCGAGCGAAGCCUUCGGGCUUAGUGGCGGACGGGUGAGUAACGCGUGGGAACGUGCCCUUUGGUACGGAAUAGCCCCGGGAAACUGGGAGUAAUACCGUAAGUGGUCGAGAGACGAAAGAUUUAUCGCCAAAGGAUAGGCCCGUGUUGGAUUAGGUAGUUGGUGGGGUAAUGGUCUACCAAGCCGACGAUCCAUAGCUGGUUUGCGAGGAUGAUCAGCCACACUGGGACUGAGACCCGGCCCAGACUCCUACGGGAGGCAGCAGUGGGGAAUCUUAGACAAUGGGCGCAAGCCUGAUCUAGCCAUGCCGCGUGAGCGAUGAAGGCCUUAGGGUUGUAAAGCUCUUUCGUGGGGGAAGAUAAUGACGGUGCCCCAAGAAGAAGCCCCGGCUAACUCCGUGCCAGCAGCCGCGGUAACAC